UGGGGAAUAUUGGACAAUGGGGGAAACCCUGAUCCAGCGAUGCCGCGUGAGUGAUGAAGGCCUUCGGGUUGUAAAGCUCUUUCACCUGUGACGAUAAUGACGGUAGCAGGAGAAGAAGCACCGGCAAACUCUGUGCCAGCAGCCGCGGUAAGACAGAGGGUGCUAGCGUUGUUCGGAAUGACUGGGCGUAAAGGGCGCGUAGGCGGCUUAUUUAGUCAGGCGUGAAAGCCCCGGGCUUAACCUGGGAACUGCGCUUGAUACUGGUAGGCUAGAGUUCGGAAGAGGAAGGUGGAAUUCCUAGUGUAGAGGUGAAAUUCGUAGAUAUUAGGAGGAACAUCUGAGGCGAAGGCGGCCUUCUGGUCCGCAACUGACGCUGAGGCGCGAAAGCGUGGGGAGCAAA
rnacentral:rRNA from 1 species